rnacentral:rRNA from 1 species
UACGUAGGGGGCUAGCGUUGUCCGGAUUUAUUGGGCGUAAAGAGCGUGUAGGCGGCCAGAUAAGUCCGUUGUGAAAACUGGAGGCUUAACCUCCAGCUGUCGAUGGAAACCAUCUGGCUAGAGUCCGGAAGAGGAGAGUGGAAUUCCUGGUGUAGCGGUGAAAUGCGCAGAUAUCAGGAAGAACACCCGUGGCGAAGGCGGCUCUCUGGGACGGUACUGACGCUGAGACGCGAAAGCGUGGGGAGCGAACAGG